AGGGAAAUAGCUCAGUGGUAGAGCUCAUGCUUAGCAGGCAUGAGGUCCUGGGUUCAAUCCCCAGUACCUCUA
rnacentral:tRNA from 1 species